UGGGUCGGGUUAUUUAGCCAACCAAAAUGGCAGUACAGGCUCCGACCGAGGACUGAGGAAGCUUAGGAUGACUAAUAAGAAUGGUUGCGGCGAGUGUUUUGUUGUGGAAGUAUUAGAAGAAUGUGUAAGAAACAUACGGUGUUCAUGAUGCAACUUCCUGGAUGGUGUGUAAACUGUUUAUCAGCAUGUGAAAUCCACAUGAUUGAAGGAGAAGUCUCCCUUGUUAAAGAUCAGCAAUGGCAG